AGAGUUUGAUCAUGGCUCAGAUUGAACGCUGGCGGCAGGCCUAACACAUGCAAGUCGAGCGGCAGCGGGAAGUAGUUUACUACUUUGCCGGCGAGCGGCGGACGGGUGAGUAAUGUCUGGGAAACUGCCUGAUGGAGGGGGAUAACUACUGGAAACGGUAGCUAAUACCGCAUAACGUCUUCGGACCAAAGUGGGGGACCUUCGGGCCUCACGCCAUCGGAUGUGCCCAGAUGGGAUUAGCUAGUAGGUGGGGUAAUGGCUCACCUAGGCGACGAUCCCUAGCUGGUCUGAGAGGAUGACCAGCCACACUGGAACUGAGACACGGUCCAGACUCCUACGGGAGGCAGCAGUGGGGAAUAUUGCACAAUGGGCGCAAGCCUGAUGCAGCCAUGCCGCGUGUGUGAAGAAGGCCUUCGGGUUGUAAAGCACUUUCAGCGAGGAGGAAGGCAUAAAGGUUAAUAACCUUUGUGAUUGACGUUACUCGCAGAAGAAGCACCGGCUAACUCCGUGCCAGCAGCCGCGGUAAUACGGAGGGUGCAAGCGUUAAUCGGAAUUACUGGGCGUAAAGCGCACGCAGGCGGUUUGUUAAGUCAGAUGUGAAAUCCCCGCGCUUAACGUGGGAACUGCAUUUGAAACUGGCAAGCUAGAGUCUUGUAGAGGGGGGUAGAAUUCCAGGUGUAGCGGUGAAAUGCGUAGAGAUCUGGAGGAAUACCGGUGGCGAAGGCGGCCCCCUGGACAAAGACUGACGCUCAGGUGCGAAAGCGUGGGGAGCAAACAGGAUUAGAUACCCUGGUAGUCCACGCUGUAAACGAUGUCGACUUGGAGGUUGUGCCCUUGAGGCGUGGCUUCCGGAGCUAACGCGUUAAGUCGACCGCCUGGGGAGUACGGCCGCAAGGUUAAAACUCAAAUGAAUUGACGGGGGCCCGCACAAGCGGUGGAGCAUGUGGUUUAAUUCGAUGCAACGCGAAGAACCUUACCUACUCUUGACAUCCACNAAAACACGGUUGAAAAGUUUUUUGAAAUUAGGGGUUGCAGGCUGUCAGGAACUCCCUAUAAUGCGCCUCCACUGACCGGGAACAACGAAACACACUUCGCCGGGUCAGGAAGAGAAAUGAUUGAGUUUGACUUCGAAAGAAACCAAAUAAACUCUUGACUCUUCAGCGGGAAAGCGUAUUAUCUGCCUCCCGCGUUACCGUAAGAUUCGCCGCAAGGCAAACGGGUAACGAACGCUCUUUAACAAUUUAUCAGACAAUCUGUGUGGGCACUCGCAAGACGAUAUCGAAGCCUGUUUCGACAGGCAGAAGAAAU
rnacentral:rRNA from 1 species